UAUUCUGCUGUCAGACCUCGCGGCAAAAUCUGAACCACUUUCCGAAGCAGUCACGUGGUUCAGCCAGGCAACGAGGCUUCGGACGUCAUCAUUUUUGGCUCCUCCCCUAAAUGAAGCAAGCCUCGAUACGCGCUUCGUGGAAACGCCCCCUCCAUUACUCGACACACGCUUUGAAGCCUCAAGCACAUCUUGUAACAUCACUAAGGAGCAGGUUUUUUAUCUGGAGCUAAGCUGAAGCAAGCGGAACACAGACUGGACAACCGGAGCUGGAAGUUCAGAGAACGGUGCUGAGGACCUGGAAGUUCAGCAGCAGGAGCAGUGCAUUGAGGAGGAGACUGAGAUGAUGGAAAGCUUCUGAAUUCAAUCCCCCAAAGAACUGAUAGAGGACAGCUGAUGGUGCUCUACAGCCUGAGGAUGUGGAUGACAACAAGUGUGGCUUCAACGUCAUCAAGGCUAGUGUGCUUCUAUCCACAAACUCUUGCAUUUACUCAUGUGCACACACCUACUUAUUUCUGAUAUUGGUGACAUAUGUUUAGUCUGUUUUUAUAGAAAUACCAGGGGCCUAUCAUGAUGUUGCUUUUACAACCGGACUCAGAUAGUUUUUAGUUUGGGGUUAAUAAAACACAUGGGUGUACACAUAGAGGGGAUGUUUCACUGAUUUGGGAAGAAGCUUGACAAGAGACUGAGCAUCUGAGGCAUUUAAUUGAUUUAGAUGAUGAUUAAACAUUUGUAGAGAGGUUAAUUUGGCUUAAAUACUGUUGAGAGUUGUGGCUUUGAUGCUGUGGAGUGUAUAAUGGGAAAGAUGGAUUGUGAAGUUAACCCAUAAGAACCCAGACCCAUUUUUCCUUAAAGGACUUAAUGAGUUAAGGUCAGACAUGAAACUUUACAGGAAGACACUGUGGCACUCAAAGUGUUUGUGACACUGGUGUCACCGUGGGUUCUUAUGGGUUAAGAGAAGGAUUGCAGAAAGUGAAGAAAGAGGGUCCAGGAGAGGAUGAGAGUGAGGAUGGAGACAGUGAUGGAGACUGAGGAAGUGAGAGACAGUGGGAUUUAAGGGAAGUUGAGAAUAGGAAAGGAAAGGCAUCAGAGAGGAUGUGUCCAGUGACUGUUAGGAGAGAGAAUCUGGAUUACAGGCCUUGGCAGAAUACAGAGACGUCAGACAGAAUUGAAAAGUUGCCAUCUCUUCAAGAUGGGGCAUGUCCAUGGAUUUCAAAACUGGAGGAGGUUUUGGUGGGGUGCAACCUGCCAUGAGAGACAUCAAGCGGCUUUUGGCCAGUCUCCUGGGAGCUUUGGUGAUGGAGGAACUUCUACAGCAAGUGGGUCUGAAUAGUUCUGUGGCAACUGCUGUAAAUGAUGCAGAGCUCUUUGCUGCCAGCAGAUCUCGGAUGUGGAGAGCGUUGAGAGAUACGUUCCCAACAAACAUACAUCCUGAUAAGAUGUUGAGUGAGCCACUGGGUCCAGAAGAGAAUCUGGGGGCCUAUGUGUCUGGGGGCUCAUCAGAAAUGGAGAAAUGUCAGAGGAAAUGACCCGGAUGUGAACCAGAAGGAGAAAUUCAUUCUGUGGAGUGAAAUCCAGAGGGGCUGCCCCUACCAGUGAAGCAGCCAAUAGAGACUGAUCUUUAGCAGAUUGUUUAGUGUUACACUCAGUGAUAGGUUUAUGAUUACACAAGAUUUCCACAAGGAUUCAAACAUAGUUUUCAUUUUAUUGAUGGGUGCUGGAAGAUACUCAGUCUUUUGUGAAGUCUUUUGUUAAGUCUGUUGUUCAGUUUUUGUUCAGAGGGGCCAUAUGUGGGUGCAUUUGCAGAACUGAGUAUUAAAAUAGCCUUAAGGAGCCGUUCACAAUCAGCAAUGUUGAGGUGUUUGGAAACAACAAAUAAAAGGAACUGAGUAAAAGAAAGUAAUGGUGUGUUGACAUGCUGCUCUGUUGACGUCUGACAAUAUGGGGGUUUGAAUUAGUUGAUAGGGUGUCAUCCAAAUGAGCUGAGUAAUUUCCAUUUUGAAUAUCAGAAUUUAUUAUAAGCAUUAUGUUCUUGGGUGUUACUUACACUAGAGAUGUUCUACUCUCAUAGGUGAUUUGGUUUGAUCAAAGGGGGGAUUGCAAUGUGUCAUACGUUAAACUGGUGAUAAUGUGAUGAUAAUGUGAUGAUACUCUCAUGACAAAGUGAUUUCCAAUAAGACAUCAUGGAGUGUUAGUUGUUUUGCAGGAUACUGCUGGGUGCUUUUAUCUUCCCAGGACGCCAUCUGGGAGCUUGCAUAGAAAGUGGCUGUCUGGAGAUCACUGCAGCCAAAUGGACUUGAAUGUUUGCAUAUGGACGAUGGAAUGGACAAUAAAGAUGGAUGGAGAACUCUGAGCAUGGACGAUGUGACGACAACACACCACGACUGGAGCUGUUAUUGAGGAGUGUUGGUUUGAUAUGCUCAUGUGUUCUUCUGUAAGCUUACAGUGUUGUUUAUCAUAUAUACUCUGUUUUAUCAUUAGAUGUUUGUUCUUACUGACAUUUCUCUACGCAAAGGAAUAUUAGAAUUAGCAACACUUUCAGUGUGUUUUAUUUUAGCCUUUGAGUUUUCAUGACUAUGAUUAGUAAGAUGGGGGUUUCAUUGAUUUGAUGUUUUUGAUAUGAGGUGAGUACUUUGGGAUCUCAGGUGUUUUAUUAUUUUGAUUGGUUAGGGACAGUGGUGUUAGGCAGGUGCAGGUCCAUUUGAGGGUCCGAUGGGUCGACCAGCCUGAUUUUGGACAUUUUUCUUUUUCUUUCUGGGAUUCCCACAUGCAUUUGCUUCCAUUCAUUUCACAUCAUCCUUUGUAUCUCCCUUUCCUCUUUUAAUUGGUUGGAGUGUAGUAUGGUCGCCGAGGCAGAGGGGCCGUGAGAGAAUUUCCUGCCUUGAUUGUUUGAUGGAUAAUUUGGAAAGAUAGCUGCCAGGCAGGUUUUCACUCUCACAUUAAUCUACAGAUUUAUAAUAUUGCUAAAUUUAGGUUGUAAUCAGUACGGACAGAAUGGACACGUCAUAAGCAUUUUGUAUGUGACCUUUAUGUACUUGAUGUUUUUGUAAUUUUCGAGGCUCUGUCAGCCUCAAAGGGGGGAAUAUGUGGUAUCUGAUCUGUUACAUGUAUUACUUAUUAAGUUAGUAGUAUAGAAUCUGUUUUGUUUGUUCUAGUAUCUGAUAUGAGUUGCUUGUUAUAUGUACUGUCUGCUCUGGUGUCUCUGACCACAGAUGGAACCUGCAUUAUAUUCAGCCCAUGCCAUGGGAAAGUGUUCUCCUGUUUACAGAGCCCUGUUGGAGGUGUUUUUAUGAGGGUUCUUCUGUCCAAAACACUGAUUUAGGGAUUCUUCAGCUGUUGUAGACAAGGGGGAGUUGUUUGGGGAUGCUCUCUGCUUUCCCCAUAUGGUAGGCAAUAAAGAACCAUUUGUUUUAACCCCUCCUAUAUGCUGAAAACCUAUAAAACCUGAUUGCUGGUCAUUGUCAGCAAGGAGGAUUCAAUUGGCCGACUCCUUCCAGGCAGGUUCUGUCUGUACUGAUGCUGCUCUUUCUUUUAAUAAAAUACUUUUAAAGAA